AAGUCGUAACAAGGUUUCCGUAGGUGAACCUGCGGAAGGAUCAUUAAAAAAGAUUACACGUGGUGAAGGCCAAAAAGCCGGAUCCAAUGCGGUAGUCACACCUGUUUACCUUUACCUGUUGCUUCCGUGGAAUUAGGGGUACUCUUCUGGUUAGCUAGUUAGAGUAUCCUUUCACGAAAGGAUCUAAAAAAAACUUGUUUUGUAUUAUUGUCUGAUAAAAUUUUUUAAUAAAAGUUAAAACUUUCAACAACGGAUCUCUAGGUUCUC
rnacentral:misc_RNA from 1 species